GACAAUUGAAGGCAUACAACAAAAAACUGGUAAUGAUAUUGUUCACUAUUAUUUCUGAGUGCUGAGUGGCAUUUGUCGAUUGUAAUAGGCUAGCAAGGAAGAUGAGGAGUCGGACAAGUCCAAAUCCGAGGUGAAUGAUGAGGAGGGGAGCGGGGAGGUUAGCGUAAGUGAAGCUCGAUUUAUUCAUUCAUCUUUUGUGAAGAAUUUUGGGCAAAUUUUGGUAACAAGAAGCCAGCUUUUGUUUUAAAAUGUCGUGCAGGAGGAAGAAGAAGAUGACGACUGAGUAAAUUUUGAAUUCGAUGAUGAAGAUGUUUGGUUACAGUCGUAAUAUGUUAUAUAUCUACUGUAUAUGAAAUUCUUCUUCUCCACAACAUGAAUAGGGCCAAUCUUUUAGUGUUAUCCACUGAUGCAGAGUUUCGAAUUUUUUUUUGAAUUGCUGUGGAAGCCAUUUUCAAGCAUUAUAAUUGAUACUUUUUGGAGCCAUUUAUGAUCUGCCUUUAUUUUCUCCACUCCCUUUCUGAUCUACCUAUGUUACACAACACAUGGCCUUUUAUAAAUGAAAGGCCCUUUAUAAGUUUUGUAUUUAUUAAUUCAUAUUUUAUAAAGUAUAUGCUUCAUUAUAUACUAAUGUUGUGACACACUUUGAUUGCUUAACAAUUUUACAGGACUGUGAGAUCACAUGGUGAUUCAAUUUCAGAAGCCAAAACAACAAAUUUCAGAAGCCAAAACAGCAGAUGAAAAAGUUCAGUCCCCAUCCUCAAAGUAAGCAAAUCAUUAUCUUAGAUUUUAAGAUGAGGAUGUGAUGCGCUGCAUAUACUGGGAAUGUUAAUAGUGGGUGAUUUUUAUUGGUUAAUUACCAAACUGUAGAAGAGGUUAUAUGAUUUGGAUUUUGAGGUGAUGUUAUAUUGUUUAAUUUUUCGGAACAAAUAUGUGAGUUUUAUUUCUAUUUACAUUCUUGAGAAAUCUGUUUUCAAAUUUUGCAUAUUAUGUGUUUGACAAAAUGCUUGAUAGAACCCUGCGAAUUUUUCUUUACAUUCUUGAGAUUGUCUCUUGCUGAUUCUUUUCUUCUUUUUUUGUUGCAGGGAUUAAAGUAGAAUCUAUAACUAUAUUACUCCAUGUAAUAUGAUUGCAAAUAAUAAACGUUAAACAUAAUUUUUUUAUUCAUGUUAUUAUUUAUUUAUACAAUGAUGUCUACAAUUUCAGAACCCCAUAUAAAGACGUCAAGUUGUAACCUUCUGUUUUAUACCCUUUUUCUCCAUCGGUUCCCAUAUUUUUCUUCCCUCUAUUUUGUAUGCUUACUGUGAAAAAGGGACUUUUGUGAUGUUAUCUAUUUGGCAACUUAUGUUCUGGGGUUAAUGUGGGUUAAUGUAGUUUUGGAUAUUUGUACAUGCGGUGAGUCAAGUAAUUUAUUUCGGAUCCGAGGUUGUGAACCUCGAUGCUUAAUAUCUCAGUGAUCUCACCAAUACGACAAUGAACUAACGAACAUAUAUUGCAAAUAAUAAUCGUUAAACAUAAGAG
rnacentral:lncRNA from 1 species